GUUGUUCCCUUGAGGAGUGGCUUCCGGAGCUAACGCGUUAAGUCGACCGCCUGGGGAGUACGGCCGCAAGGUUAAAACUCAAAUGAAUUGACGGGGGCCCGCACAAGCGGUGGAGCAUGUGGUUUAAUUCGAUGCAACGCGAAGAACCUUACCUACUCUUGACAUCCACGGAAUUUGGCAGAGAUGCCUUAGUGCCUUCGGGAACCGUGAGACAGGUGCUGCAUGGCUGUCGUCAGCUCGUGUUGUGAAAUGUUGGGUUAAGUCCCGCAACGAGCGCAACCCUUAUCCUUUGUUGCCAGCGAUUCGGUCGGGAACUCAAAGGAGACUGCCGGUGAUAAACCGGAGGAAGGUGGGGAUGACGUCAAGUCAUCAUGGCCCUUACGAGUAGGGCUACACACGUGCUACAAUGGCGCAUACAAAGAGAAGCGACCUCGCGAGAGCAAGCGGACCUCACAAAGUGCGUCGUAGUCCGGAUCGGAGUCUGCAACUCGACUCCGUGAAGUCGGAAUCGCUAGUAAUCG
rnacentral:rRNA from 1 species